GUGUCAGUAACAAACCAGGAAUAAACUCACGAUGACCGACACAAAAUCUAACAGUAACACCUCAAAACUGACCUGUAUUGUUGACCUGUUACGAUGUUUAAAGCUUAAAACAAUUUUCUCGAGGUAAUUAUUGAUAAAAUUUUCAUAAAAUC